AAGUCCCGCAACGAGCGCAACCCUAUUGUUAGUUGCCAUCAUUCAGUUGGGCACUCUAGCGAGACUGCCGGUAAUAAACCGAAGGAAGGUGGGAUGACGUCAAAUCAUCAUGCCCCUUAUGACCUGGGCUACACACGUGCUACAAUGGUUGGUACAACGAGUUGCGAGUCGGUGACGGCGAGCUAAUCUCUUAAAGCCAAUCUCAGUUCGGAUUGUAGGCUGCAACUCGCCUACAUGAAGUCGGAAUCGCUAGUAAUCGCGGAUCAGCACGCCGCAGUGAAUACGUUCCCGGGCCUU
rnacentral:rRNA from 1 species